CAACAACAGCACCAACAACAGCAGGAACACCAACAGCAGCAGCAACACCAACAGCAGCAGCAGCAACCGCAGAUCAUUUGCCCAUACGUUCCGAUUGCUGGACAUGCACCGUACAUACAUGGGUGCAUUUAUAACUGUUUGCCAAACGUAGGGGAAGCAAGCAAUCAUGGUACAAUAGCGUUGGCGUACGAUAUAAACCCGUUGAAUUCGCCGCCGCCUUUUAAUUGUGCUCAAUUUUGGCCCAACAAUUAAGCUGAAUGUUUGCUUUUGAUGCUAAUGUAACGGUUUACUUCUUUGAUAAUUUAAUAUCGAUUUUUUGUCAUAACGAGUUCUCUUAAAACUUGAUUGAGGUAGUCGAAACAGAAUCUCAUUUCUUGCUCUUUAUCGCUUUUUUUUUAUUUCGUAUACUGAUCGUAUUUCGUAUUUGAUAUUGAUGAAAUUGAUUUCGUAACUUGUUUUUGUGAAUUCCUCACAUACUCAGCCAAUCCGAUCGUGUGUGGGUUACAUUGAAAGUGUGGAUUUUUUGGCGUUACUGAAAAGUAUGUUCUAUAUUUACACGAUAUUUACUGAUCGAAUUUCAUGUAAACAAUAAAAAAUGCAUUCCAAUAAACU